rnacentral:rRNA from 1 species
GACGAACGCUGGCGGCGUGCUUAACACAUGCAAGUCGAGCGGUAAGGCCCUUUCGGGGGUACGACGAGCGGCGAACGGGUGAGUAACACGUGGGUGACCUGCCCUCAGCUCUGGGAUAAGCCUGGGAAACCGGGGUCUAAUACCGGAUAUGACUCCACGACGCAUGUUGUGGGGUGGAAAGCCUUGUGCGGCUGAGGAUGGGCCCGCGGCCUAUCAGCUUGUUGGUGGGGUGAUGGCCUACCAAGGCGACGACGGGUAGCCGGCCUGAGAGGGCGACCGGCCACACUGGGACUGAGACACGGCCCAGACUCCUACGGGAGGCAGCAGUGGGGAAUCUUGCGCAAUGGGCGAAAGCCUGACGCAGCGACGCCGCGUGAGGGAUGACGGCCUGGUGUAA